CUGGGGAGUACGGUCGCAAGAUUAAAACUCAAAGGAAUUGACGGGGGCCCGCACAAGCGGUGGAGCAUGUGGUUUAAUUCGACGCAACGCGCAGAACCUUACCAGCCCUUGACAUGUCCAGGACCGGUCGCAGAGAUGUGACCUUCUCUUCGGAGCCUGGAACACAGGUGCUGCAUGAACUGUCGUCAGCUCGUGUCGUGAGAUGUUGGGUUAAGUCCCGCAACGAGCGCAACCCCCGUCCUUAGUUGCUACCAUUUAGUUGAGCACUCUAAGGAGACUGCCGGUGAUAAGCCGCGAGGAAGGUGGGGAUGACGUCAAGUCCUCAUGGCCCUUACGGGCUGGGCUACACACGUGCUACAAUGGCGGUGACAAUGGGAUGCUAAGGGGCGACCCUUCGCAAAUCUC
rnacentral:rRNA from 1 species